AGAAACUUAGGAUAGCAACCCAAACCGGAGGCCUUCAAAGCCUCAGACAAGAGCUUGAACCUCUUAGUUUCUG
rnacentral:tRNA from 1 species